GUGGAUGAUGAUCUGUCCUCACAAAAGGAAAAAGAUGUUGAGAAAUAAAAAUCAAGCAGAGAAUGUGGCGGGACGUUUGAGCUGAGAAGACAUAAUAAGCAGCUUUGAAUGAGAGCUGUCCAGAGAACUGCUUCAGGCUGUGACUACUCUCCCAAAACAACACACAGAGUUCCCCUGGCACAUCAGGGUCUGAUAGAUGGGAAACAUCCCCCAGUGCUCGUUCUCAGGACAAGGAUGAGAGCCCCACCACUCCCCAUAGGAACUGAUGUCAUAACACAGCCCUAACAACUCACCCCGUGCUGCCACUUGGACAUCUUUUGCUUCACAUGACCAGGACCGUCCCACUUCUGGCUCCCUGUCCAGGCAGUGGAGAGAAGUGGGCUCCAACUUUACUCAAAGAAGGGAAGAACAUGAAGCAUGAAAAGAAGCUCUUGAGAAGAAUCCAGCCAGGUCAGCCAACCAACCUCCAUGCUUCUUUGAAGAAAGAGGGUGCAAAGGCAGAACAGCUGUCCAGUGAACUAGAAGAAAUAGCCCUGAAGAUAGCUUUGUGUCUGAUAUGACUUUGAGAGGGAAAAUCAUCCCAAAGAUAAAUGCUUCAAAUGAAGUUUCUAAGGGACAGAAUAAAUGCAUAUAUAUAUAUGAA
rnacentral:lncRNA from 1 species